UCGCAUGUUUUUCAUUAAAAUAUUGCUGACUGUUUCCUUCAGUUUACGAUAGAGAGUGAUAAAAGAUGUGAAUUUGUGGUUUACUCGUCUGACGCUACAUCGGCCUGCCAGUGAUGUUGAAAGCAGGGGAGUACUCACCCAACAACCCGCUCAUAAGGGCUGAGAGAAGUUCGGGCGAUGUGUUAUUGGGGCUGGGGGAAUAUGAACGCAGAAGGAAUACGCUGCGAAAACUUAGGCAACAACAGUAUCGGGAAUAUCUGGAUCAGCAAGCGAAAAAGAAGCAAGAGGAGAAGGAACGCGCAGAACGGGAGAGAAGAGAGCGAGAG
rnacentral:lncRNA from 1 species